AGCUGGAGCUAGAGCUGGAUUUACUCAGAAAACAGACCAUAAAAGAGGUAUUUAGACACUAAAGUUAACUGCAGAAGUUACGGAAGUAGACGAGAAUCAUCAGACGUCUUUGAACCACGUAGAAAUCGAUAUUCCGGCUGUGUUUUUUUUGAGGGCUCUCUUCAGCGGGACUUUGAUCUCCAUCCAUCUGCCACUGUGUGUUGAUGUCCAUCCACGUCCACAUCUCCAUCACGCUGGGAUCGGCCGUCACCUCGUACCGUCUCAUUGGACAUUCAUUAUAAGGGGGAGGGGGCAGCAGGUCGAACAGAUGAUCACCUGAGCGUGUUACGGAGCUGAUGCUGCUGCUGGACUUCAUCCUGAGUCGGCCGCAGAGAUGCUGAGCAGGUUUUGGAGGCUGGUACGCUGAAACAGUGAUGAAUAACAGGCUUCACUUUCUCUGGGAUCACAAAGCAAUUUUUUGGUUUUUACACAUCAUUUCAUGUCAUGCAAUCUGCAGUCAUCAUGAACAACAAGCAGGACUGGAUGAAGAUGUCAGGUCUUCACAUCUGUACAGGUGUUAUUUUAAGAAAUUUCCAGAAGUUUUAUUGUUGAUAAAUACAAUAAUCCUGAAAUCUUGUGUGCAGUUCAUGAUCUGUAAUCUGUUUUUAGCCUCUCUGACUGAUUAAAAUCACUAUCAGAAGCACAAAGUGUUCUGAAGAAACCUUUAAAAUCAGACUGAUGAUAUUAAAUGUCUCUAAUUUACCAGAAAUGAAAAGUUUUCAUCAUAUUGUUGGUUCAAUUUCUAAACCAAUCAGAUUAAGUAAUAGCCAGUUCUUUCCAAAUCUUGCUUUUUAUGCAUCAAAGUUUUAAAUUUCAAGGAGGAGAAAAGAAUGUUUGAAAAUAUUUUUAAAAUACCAAAUAAGUCUGGAGUUUCCCAUAAAAUUUCAUUGUUCUCUUGUUCCACCCCCCUGAU